GGGAUUCAUAGACCUUGUUCUGUCCAUCUCCUUCAAUGUACAGGAAAGGACAGUGAAGCCAGGGAGCUCAAGUGACCUCCUCCAGGGGAUACAGCUGUGGUGUGGGAAGCAUCAUGAGAACACGGUCUUUGAUGGGGAUAAUUACUCUGAAUCUACCAGGCUGAUUAAGCCACAGCAGAUCAGCAGCACUCACAGUGUGUGCUACCCUUCUGCAUGGUGGAAUUGUGGGGAAGUAACUACUAGCCAGAGACUACCUCAAGGCCUGUUUCAUCAAGGAGAGGCCCAUAUGAUUAGUUUUCACCAGUGAGCUAGAUACAGAGGACCUAACAUACAACUCAGGGUCCCUAGAAGAUGGAGAAAACACAGACAAUUGGCAGAGGAGAUGGGCAUGUGAUUAUUGUUACCACUUGUCUGGAAGCAACCAGAAUGGAGUGGGGAACACUCAAGGAGGAGAUCUUCACAGGACUCACCUCUCAUCACAGCUCCCGUGUGGUUGUAAUCACCCCAGAGGGAAAAAUAAUUUCGGUUUUUUAUGGUUUAAUUAUUGGUGAUAGCAGCUGUUUUGAAGACACAAACACAGAAACAAGUUCUAGAACAUACUCACAGUUUCCUUGGUCACAGUGGUGUCAGUGGUUCUAUAAAGGUCUUAUGAAUCUCUACUUAGUUGACCGCAAGUAGUAAGCAAGAAACAAUCCUGUAAAGAGAAUGGAGGUCAGAAUAAAGAAGUCUUGAGGGUUUAAAUCGCUUCUUGAAGAUAAAUGCCCAUGUGUCAAGGAGCUAAGGGAGACCAGCCCAGGAGGAGCUGAAUCCUGCCAACAAUCACUUGAGUGAACUUGAGAGUGAAUCCUCUCCAUGUUAAGCCUUGAGUCCUGACUGGGUGCCCAGCACUGGGGGAAGAUGUAGGAAAAGGAGACUCCAUCGUCUUUCCCCGGGCGCAGGAAGUUUAUGUGUAUGAGGCAGAGUAACCCAAGGAUGCCAAGGAUCCAAAUGAGAGGUAUGAACAAUGUGUUUUGGAAAUGGUCAGAAUUGGGGUCAGGAGAAGGCUUCAGAGAGGAGGUGGAAUGUGGGAUAGGUGAGAUUCUCAUAGAUGAAGAAGUGGGAUUUGCAGAAUUGCCCCUCACCCUCCACUAACCUUUGGAAAGUCUCAAUCUAUAUGCUCUUUCAUAGUCUUUAUCCUUGUUUGUCUGAAGAGCACAGGAUGGAGAACUGUCCAGACAAAGGACUCAAAGAAAAAAGAUGCUCAGGCAAUAUACUGCAGGGCAGAUGAAGCACUGGCCUGCCUGGAAUGGGCUUUGAGGCUUUGCUCAUUGAUUUGCCAGUUAAAUCCCACUCUUGAGUGAUUCUCACAGCUGACCUGAAUGCCCUUUGGGAUGGCCACCUGCUGGCUGCACCUUCCUCUGCUUAUGUCCGCUCCACAGGCCCAUCUGCUCUGUUACAGAUUCCGGUCAGUGAUCCUAGACUGAAAUUUUACCCUCUCUCCUGAUCAGAAAGGAAAGUGAUUGUGCUUUCCAACUAUAAAUCUAUUUAGUAAAUAUUUACUGGAUACCUACUUUUAGCAAGGCACCAGGGUAAAAAUGUUUGAAGAUCUAAAAAUCUGCAAAUACAGUCUGUCUCUUUCCUCAAAGAAUUUGCAGUCUCUUCAUGGAGUGGAGUUAAAAAUAAAUACAUGAAUGAAGAUGCUGCAAGCCAGUGAGAUAUGCACCCAGAGAGGAGUAAGCAAUGAGGUGGGAGUUAGAGGGAGGAGCUGUCACUUCUGGAUGGAGGGACAAGGGCAGGUUUUUUGGGGAAGAGUCUGCGCAGAGCAACAGGACUUGAAAUUGAGGGAAGGCAGAGCUCUAGGUUUUAUCUAAAAUUCUGCAUGUGGAGUGGCAGUUAGUAGAAGCUGAUUCUCAUGUCAUUUCUUUCUCAAAUCAUUUCAUGUGUUUUCAUUACUGAAAACAACCCAUCUAAAGGCCAUGAUAACUUCUGGAAAAAGUCCAAGCUAAUUUCUGGUUUACCUAGAGCUCUCCCAGUUUACAUAUUAUUAAUAAACCUUCUUUCAUUGUACAAACUGUCAUGGUUUGAGAAAUGAAUUAUAUAGGCAUCUUAAUUCUUGAUAAUGCUUUCAGCAGCCUUUCAGAAAUUCUAAGGUCGCAAUGUUGGAUUAGCUAUUUAAGCUGCAAGCAACAUGGUAGAUUUUGGGAAGGGAUGUAAACUUGAACCAAGAAAUCCCCUUUAUUUUGCUUCUAAAUCAACAUAUACAAAUCAACAAAAAGAAAAAGCCAAGGCACCCUUUUUGCCUAGAAUAGAAGCAGGUGGGUGUGCCAGUCAUACACUCAUUGCUGAGGUAUGCUGAUAACACAGCAAUGAUCAUGGAUAAUCUAUUAACACACUUGAGCCAUACUCAGUCUUGUUUUGCAGAUAAACAUAGUCUGUGAUUAUUUUACAACACUGUUAAGGUGCGGAGGGUUGUCCCUCAUUUAUUACUUGACUAAUAAAUACUUUAAUUACACUUAAUAAAUAAUGUAAGCAGGGCUCACUGAAGUGGUAAUUCUUUAAAUUAAUUAUUAACUGCAUGCAAAAGGCUGCACUGCCAGUACCACUAAAAGAAAAUUCAGGCUUUAAUCUAGUGAUUAUUCAUUAUCUGGUAUAAGGGCUCCAUUUGCAUAUUAUUAGGGAAAUAAACUUCGGCCUCCUUGGCAAUACAGAUAGAUCUCAAAGUCCAUGCAUUAUGAAUCUCCAAAUACUAAAGCAAUGAUAAACAAUAAAAUCCUCAGUUUAUAGCUUUAUAGCAGCUGGUUUUUGAUUUUUCAAAUAUAUUACAAUGAUAAAGUGACCAGUUAAUGUAUAAGCUCUUUGUGAAAGGUGGUGCCUACAGAUGGUCGACUGAUAGGAAACAGUAAAUGUGCAAACUGCUCAUUUCCCUUGAGAUAGGAGUCAUAAAGUGAUCUCAGUAAGAUAUGAGAAGAAAAUAUCCAUUUAACCCCUUUCUCUGCAGCAACCCAAACAUGGUAGUGCACUGAAUUGUUUUGUAUGUGUCUGUUUCUCCUCUCCUCUCUGGCUUCACAUCUUCACUUUGGAAAAGUGAAAGCGGAAUACCUGGUUAUCCGGAGGUCACUGUCUCCACACAGAGUGGUGUCCCUGAUGCUAGCUUGGGGCAAAGAAGCCAGGCCAGCUUAUGGUUGCAAUAGGAAUAGAAGGGACUUCCUUACUCCAAUCCCACCCUACCCCCUCAUCCUGCCUCAACCAGUCAUGCAGAGAGAUGCUGAAUGGCUGCCUGCUCUCAGGGGAGUGGUUUGUGGAGGUUUAAUUAAAAUAAUUUAAUGAAUCAAA